UACGUAGGGUGCAAGCGUUAAUCGGAAUUACUGGGCGUAAAGCGUGCGUAGGUGGUUUGUUAAGUCUGUUGUGAAAGCCCCGGGCUCAACCUGGGAAUGGCAAUGGAUACUGGCAGGCUAGAGUGCGGUAGAGGGUAGUGGAAUUCCCGGUGUAGCGGUGAAAUGCGUAGAGAUCGGGAGGAACACCAGUGGCGAAGGCGGCCCGCUGGGCAGUGGCUGACGCUGAGGCGCGACAGCGUGGGGAGCAAACAGG
rnacentral:rRNA from 1 species